UACGUAGGGGGCGAGCGUUAAUCGGAAUUACUGGGCGUAAAGCGUGCGCAGGCGGUCUCGUAAGACAGGUGUGAAAUCCCCGGGCUCAACCUGGGAACUGCGCUUGUGACUGCGAGGCUAGAGUGCGGAAGAGGGAGGUGGAAUUCCACGUGUAGCAGUGAAAUGCGUAGAGAUGUGGAGGAACACCGAUGGCGAAGGCAGCCUCCUGGGCCAGCACUGACGCUCAUGCACGAAAGCGUGGGGAGCAAACAGG
rnacentral:rRNA from 1 species